rnacentral:rRNA from 1 species
GGAUUCCCCUAGUAACUGCGAGUGAAGCGGGAAAAGCUCAAAUUUAAAAUCUGGUAGUCCUCUGGCUGCCCGAGUUGUAAUCUAGAGAAGUAUUAUCCGCGCUGGACCGUGUAUAAGUGUCCUGGAAUGGACCAUCAUAGAGGGUGAGAAUCCCGUCUUUGACACGGACUCCCAGGGCUUUGUGAUGUGCUCUCAAAGAGUCGAGUUGUUUGGGAAUGCAGCUCUAAAUGGGUGGUAAAUUCCAUCUAAAGCUAAAUAUUGGCGAGAGACCGAUAGCGAACAAGUACCGUGAGGGAAAGAUGAAAAGAACUUUGGAAAGAGAGUUAAACAGUACGUGAAAUUGCUGAAAGGGAAACGCUUGAAGUCAGUCGCGUUGGCUGGGGAUCAACCUUGGCUUGGCUUACUUCCCAGUUGACGGGUCAGCAUCAGUUUUGACCGGUGGAUAAAGGCUAGGGGAAUGUGGCACCUUCGGGUGUGUUAUAGCCCUUGGUCA